AAUUUCGUUAUCGUUCCAACUAAUAUCAAAGUAAUAACUAACUAGAAAUUUCAUAUAUAGAACCUAACAACUGUUGUUUGAAAGAGUUAUUUUUAGAAGUACAACAAAACGAAACCAUUAACCAU
rnacentral:sRNA from 1 species